GAUGAACGCUGGCGGCGUGCCUAAUGCAUGCAAGUCGAGCGAACGGACGAGAAGCUUGCUUCUCUGAUGUUAGCGGCGGACGGGUGAGUAACACGUGGAUAACCUACCUAUAAGACUGGGAUAACUUCGGGAAACCGGAGCUAAUACCGGAUGAUAUUUUGAACCGCAUGGUUCAAAAGUGAAAGACGGUUUUGCUGUCACUUAUAGAUGGAUCCGCGCUGCAUUAGCUAGUUGGUAAGGUAACGGCUUACCAAGGCAACGAUGCAUAGCCGACCUGAGAGGGUGAUCGGCCACACUGGAACUGAGACACGGUCCAGACUCCUACGGGAGGCAGCAGUAGGGAAUCUUCCGCAAUGGGCGAAAGCCUGACGGAGCAACGCCGCGUGAGUGAUGAAGGUCUUCGGAUCGUAAAACUCUGUUAUUAGGGAAGAACAUAUGUGUAAGUAACUAUGCACAUCUUGACGGUACCUAAUCAGAAAGCCACGGCUAACUACGUG
rnacentral:rRNA from 1 species